rnacentral:tRNA from 1 species
AAAAAGUCUGAAAAAUUCAGAACAA